rnacentral:rRNA from 1 species
GAUGAACGCUGGCGGCGUGCCUAAUACAUGCAAGUCGAGCGAACGGACGAGUAGCCUUCUUCUCUGAUUUUAGCGUCGGACAGGGGAGUAAAACGUGGGGAACAUUGCUUUAAGGCUGGGGUAAAUUCGUGAAACCGGUGCUAAUACCGGCUUAUAGUCUCAACCGCAUGGUUCAGGAGUUUCAGACGGCCUUCCUGUCGCUGAGACCUGGAUCCGCUCUGCAUUAGCUAGUUGGUAGGGUAACGGCUCACCAAGGCCACGAUGCAUAGCUGACCUGAGAGGAUGACAAGCCACACUGGAACUGAGACACGGUCCAGACUCCUACGGGAGGCAGCAGUAGGGAAUAUUGCGCAAUGGGCGAAAGCCUGACGGAGCAACGCCGCGUGUGUGAAGAAGGUCUUCGGGUUGUAAAGCACUGUCAGCAGGGAGGAAGGUAGGAGAGAGAAUACCUGUGCACAUUGACGUUACCUGCAGAGAAAGCAACGGCUAACUACGUG